rnacentral:rRNA from 1 species
UACGUAGGGGGCGAGCGUUGUCCGGAUUUAUUGGGCGUAAAGAGCGUGUAGGCGCCAGGUAGGUCUGCUGUGAAAACUCGAGGCUUAACCUCGAGAUGUCGGCGGAAACCAUUUGGCUAGAGUCCGGAAGAGGAGAAUGGAAUUCCCGGUGUAGCGGUGAAAUGCGCAGAUAUCGGGAAGAACACCCGUGGCGAAGGCGGUUCUCUGGGACGGUACUGGACGCUGAGACGCGAAAGCGUGGGGAGCGAACAGG